UGGGGAAUUUUGGACAAUGGGCGAAAGCCUGAUCCAGCAAUGCCGCGUGUGUGAAGAAGGCCUUCGGGUUGUAAAGCACUUUUGUCCGGAAAGAAAUCCUUGGCUCUAAUACAGUCGGGGGAUGACGGUACCGGAAGAGUAAGCACCGGCUAACUACGUGCCAGCAGCCGCGGUAAUACGUAGGGUGCAAGCGUUAAUCGGAAUUACUGGGCGUAAAGCGUGCGCAGGCGGUUUGCUAAGACCGAUGUGAAAUCCCCGGGCUCAACCUGGGAACUGCAUUGGUGACUGGCAGGCUAGAGUAUGGCAGAGGGGGGUAGAAUUCCACGUGUAGCAGGUGAAAUGCGUAGAGAUGUGGAGGAAUACCGAUGGCGAAGGCAGCCCCCUGGGCCAAUACUGACGCUCAUGCACGAAAGCGUGGGGAGCAAACAGGAUUAGAUACCCUGGUAGUCCACGCCCUAAACGAUGUCAACUAGUUGUUGGGGAUUCAUUUCCUUAGUAACGUAGCUAACGCGUGAAGUUGACCGCCUGGGGAUACGGUCGCAAGAUUAAAAGCUGCAAAAGGAAUUGACGGGGGUCAUA
rnacentral:rRNA from 1 species